rnacentral:rRNA from 1 species
GAUGAACGCUGGCGGCGUGCUUAACACAUGCAAGUCGAACGGUGAACACGGAGCUUGCUCUGUGGGAUCAGUGGCGAACGGGUGAGUAACACGUGAGCAACCUGCCCCUGACUCUGGGAUAAGCGCUGGAAACGGCGUCUAAUACUGGAUAUGUGACGUGACCGCAUGGUCUGCGUCUGGAAAGAAUUUCGGUUGGGGAU